rnacentral:lncRNA from 1 species
GGGCGGGUCCUUUCAUUUAUAGCUGGUGUGCAGUCAAUAUCAAGUCUGCUAUCUCCAGUUGCCAUGAGUCCACUGACAUGUAAGUGCAUGUUUCUGUUUGUUAUGUGUCAGUGUUUAUUUUUCUAGGUGAUGAAUUUUUUUUUUUUUUUUCGGAACAACUUCCAUUGUAGUUAUGAUGGCUUGAAUUUUUUAUUCUUGUAUUAGCAUGGUUUCUAUCUAGCAAUGCCCCUUUCAACUGCAAAGGUUUUAGCAUCAUAUGCGCAUCCAUAUGCAUGGUAAGCCACCCUUCAUGUGUGUAUAUAUAUAUAUAUAUAUAUAUAUAUCUCUCUCUCUCUCUCUCUCUCUCUCCCGUGUUCUUUAAUGACUAACAUGCAUGCUAAUCUAAUCUGGUCAUGACCAGAUGGUUGCUUUUUGCAUUGCUUGCAAGCUUAAACUGGUCGAACGCUCUUCAGAGGAUAUUGAAACACCACUACUAACUGAUAGUUAAUUCUAUUUCUGCAUCCCAAGCUCUGCAUUGGUGGGAACUUCAUGUAGUGAAUCUUCCAAAGGAAAAUAUUAGAGACACCAAAGAGUUUUCCCCAGUCUCGCAUUAUCUGAGUCUCAUCAAAUGAUAAAAAUUAUGUAGAACCCAUGUAGGUUCCACUCUAUGUGUUGUGUUUAGAAGUUAAGUUAGAUAGAACUGCUCUCCACCAAAUACUUUGUGUAGUCCUUGGGCGGAUAUUGUAAAUAUUUUUUUGUUGUGGGGUAUUGUAAAUAUUUUACAUCCUUGAGCAAACUGAGUACGUUUUCCCCCAAAAACAUUUGUCCUC